UCUCACUCUGCCACCCAGGCUGGAGUGCUUUGGCACCAUCUUGGCUCACUGCAGCCUGAACCUCCUGGGCUCAAGCCAUCCUCCCACCUCAGCCUCCUGAGAAGCUGGGACUAUAGGCUUGUACUACUGAGCCUGGCUAAUUUUUGUAUUUUUUGGAGAGACGGGUUUUACCGUGUCACCCAGGCUGGUCUCAAACUCCUGGAUUCAAGUAAUCCACCCACGUUGGCCUCCCAGUGUUGGGAUUACAGGUGUGAGCCACUGCACAGGGCUUUAUCUCACCUUCUCACUAGGCAUGGAUGCCUCCUUCCAAACUCAGGCUGAGUGGUCUUCAGAUCAGACGGCAGACUCCCUGUGGAGGAGAAAAAGAGUAGUUGGGAAAGUCAAGGGGGCUGUGAACUGAUUCCUGUGAUCCAGAGAUGUCGGGGGGCUGAGCAGAUGCAUAGCCAAGUGUGGGACCUGGGUUCUUCCCUGAGUUCUCCAACUCCCUAACAGAUUUUGAGCACCUCCCUGCCUCCUUGGGCCUCAGUUUUCCCUUAUAUAACUGUUCUUCCAGUCCUCACCAUCUGCAGUCCCAUUUUUAAUGCCCUGUGCUCUCUGCUCUGGGCAAGUUUUCUGUUGAAGGUGGCAGCGGGGAGGUGUCGGCAUUCUUAGGAAAGAAUAAAACAAUCCAGGCUGAGAAGGAACACACUUGCUCAUCCAGCACAGCUGUGCUUGUGGAGUUCAGGGCUGGGUGGAUUUAUGAAGAAUAGAGGUGUAGACUCUAGAUGGUUGUCAUCCCUCCUCUGAAACAAGGUAUCAGGGCUGUGGGUCCCCGGAACCUGUGCUCCCCGGGCUGGAGACACCCUCCCUGUGGGGGGGUCUGUGUGCGGAGCACCAUGGUGAAGCCUUCCCUAUGGAGGGGAGCCCUUCAGGCUUGUGGGCUCUUUGAGGCCAAGGCCUUGAUGAGGGAGACAUAAGAUAGGAGAACAAGGAGGUAUAUGCAGCUUCAAAGGGGCCUGAUUCUGUACCCCACCUUGGGCCUGACCCAACUCUGUCUUUUGUCGGGAGAUAUCUGAAGAACUCUGUGUGGCCGCUGACUCCCUGUGAGUGCUUGGGAAAUUCCUCUAACCCCUAUGAGCCUCCAUUUCUUCAUUUAUCAAAUGGGCUAACAAUGUUUAUCUCAUAGGGCUGAGUGCUCCUCAGGUAAGAUAAUGUUCAUAAACCAGCUGUCUGUAUCAGAAUGUCCCAGGAAGAUGUCAGCUGCUAUUAUUCUUUGUUCUCAGGUUGAUGUACACAGAAGCAAUACAUCUCAGUUGAGACGAAUUCUGUCCUAAGGUGUGAGUUUCUGUGUUCCUGCUUAUAUGAGAUUGUUUUCUCUGUAUCCUAGGCAUGUUCUUCAGGGGGCUGUGACUUGGGGUGCAGUGGAAGAAGGGGGCUUAUCAGCAGGAAACUAUCUCCAGAGUUGCCAGAAAUCUGGAUUAGGAUCUACAGAAAAUGUUGUCUGUCAGGGUUUGGCAAAGAUGAUUACAAGAAGACGCCGCGGAAAGAGAAGGGGAAGCUGCAGAGUAACCUCCGUGAGGAGCAGCAGAGGUGGAGAAGGUGGUGAGUCUCCUGGACCCCUACUGGGUCAGAACAGUCAGGAGGUGAGGCUUAUUGGUCAUAGCCACCAGCCCGUAUGGAUGUCUUGCUGGAGUGACUGCGCUGCCCAGGUCGGGCUGAUCCUAGUAAGUAGGUGUCCUGGGAAGAGGAGAAGCUGGCUUUGCUCAGGGAUAAGAGGACCCAGGAACAGUGCUAUUGGCCAUCUGAAGUGACUUUGGUGCUUCAUGAAUAAACCAAUCAACAUUAAAUAGCUAUAUGGAUGGAUUCAAAACCCACCUAUAGAAAUUAACAAGUUGGGCUGAGAGGCCUGGGAAAAGGGACUGUGGCUUCAUAGGGCAGUGGUGACUUUAUGGCCACUGUUCCUUUCUCCAGAGCUGAGGAACUUGGCUGCUGAUUCCGAGCAGAGUUGGGGAAAGAGUUCCCGCUCCAUCAAAGAGUCAUUUGUCUAAGUCCGGUGUCUAAGAAGUGGUAUUCCCAGAAAACAUUCUCCUUUCUCUCUGGACAUGUAUCUUCCAAGGAAACAUCUCUUUAACCUGUGUCGUUGCCUUCUGGUUGGAGCAGCUUUGGAGAUGUCCUAAGGGCCAUCAGCCUAACAAGCACACUGCUCCAUCCACUUGCUACCACAACAACCCACUCCCUCCUGGUCCCAGCUCCAGCCCUCAUGAGGUGGAGUGCUCCCCUCCCACCCGCCCAUCUCUCCAAGCCACAGCUUUCCUGGAGGAAAUGGAAUGAGGACAUGGAAGGAAGAGGGAGGCAGAGGCCUACAUUCUCCUCCAGCUCUGCCCUUUUUCCAGCCCAGCCUCUUGGAUCCUCAGUCUUUCCAUCAGAAACACCUGAGCCCCUGAGGAAAGGGAGCAUGCUGCAAGGACCUCUACGGUGAUGUUCAGGGAGAGGGAUGCACCUGCAGCCUCUCCAUAGCAUGAAGGGCAAAACAUCAAUACACAGGCAGAGUCCUCAGGGUUUCCCGUGUCAAAUGGAGCUCUCCAAGUUCUGAUGUGAGUGGGGAGAAGAGACACCAUUGAUGACAAAACCCCAGAGAAAACUUCUGAGAAGUAGAAAUGCUGGGCCAUGGAGUGAACACAUUUAAUGUUUUGGCAUGUAUCACCAAACUGCUCUCUGUGAAGUGCGAAGAAUCCUCACUUCUGUCCACCACAGUUUUUUUUUUACCUGCA
rnacentral:lncRNA from 1 species